rnacentral:rRNA from 1 species
AAUCUAUCGUGUCCACACCGCGAAACUACUUAUGCCCUUCUGGAGUAGGCAGACUUUACGGUUUGCCCUUCAGUUGCGUAGGUCAGGGGCUGGCUCCUUUUGGUGUCAGUUGACUUGACUGGGCGGGUCCAAUAUCAAUCGGAUUCACCGCGCCUUUCAGGCUCGGGGUUCUGCCGGUUGUGAGGGGUGGCGGUUAACUCACUUUAAGCAAUCAAUUCUGAAGACAGUUCUAUUGGCUGGCUUUGCUGGCUAUAGGCUGAAUAACUAAAGACAACUCUCAACAACGGAUAUCUUGGCUCCCGUAACGAUGAAGAACGCAGCGAAAUGCGAUACGUAGUGUGAAUUGCAGAAUUCCGUGAACCAUCGAAUCUUUGAACGCAAAUUGCGCUCGAGGCCUCGGCCAAGAGCAUGUCUGCCUCAGCGUCGGCUACUACCCUCAAUUAAAUUUCAUUGGUGAACUCCGAUGAAAGGCAGUUGGAUUUGGCCGUCCGGUUUGCCUUUUUAGGUUGCCGGUCAGUUGAAAUACAUUCACGCUUUGAGAGCUGCUUUCCUUUUGGGAAAGGCGAGUUCCGAUUUGGUAGGUGACCUUUGCCGGUUGCAUGCCUUCGUUGCCCGCUAUGCUCUCAACUGCGUUGUGCAGGACGCCUUUUGGCUUUCGACCUGAGGUCAGGCAAGAACACCCGCUGAACUUAAGCAUAUCAAUAAGCGGAGGAAAAGAAACUAACUAGGAUUCCCUUAG